rnacentral:rRNA from 1 species
GAUGAACGCUGGCGGCGUGCCUAAUACAUGCAAGUCGAGCGAACGGACGAGAAGCUUGCUUUUCUGAUGUUAGCGGCGGACGGGUGAGGAACACGUGGAUAACCUACCUAUAAGACUGGGAUAACUUCGGGAAACCGGAGCUAAUACCGGAUAAUAUUUUGAACCGCAUGGUUCAAAAGUGAAAGACGGUCUUGCUGUCACUGAUAGAUGGAUCCGCGCUGCAUUAGCUAGUUGGUAAGGUAACGGCUUACCAAGGCAACGAUGCAUAGCCGACCUGAGAGGGUGAUCGGCCACACUGGAACUGAGACACGGUCCAGACUCCUACGGGAGGCAGCAGUAGGGAAUCUUCCGCAAUGGGCGAAAGCCUGACGGAGCAACGCCGCGUGAGUGAUGAAGGUCUUCGGAUCGUAAAACUCUGUUAUUAGGGAAGAACAUAUGUGUAAGUAACUGUGCACAUCUUGACGGUACCUAAUCAGAAAGCCACGGCUAACUACGUG